GAUGAAGAACGCAGCGAAAUGCGAUAAGUAGUGUGAAUUGCAGAAUUCAGUGAAUCAUCGAAUCUUUGAACGCACAUUGCGCCCCUUGGUAUCCCGAGGGGCAUGCCUGUUCGAGCGUCAUUUCACCACUCAAGCCUGGCUUGGUGUUGGGCGACGUCCCCUUUGGGGACGCGCCUCGAAACGCUCGGCGGCGUGGCACCGGCUUUAAGCGUAGCAGAAUCUUUCGCUUUGGAAGUCGGGGCCCCGUCUGCCGGAAGACCUACUCGCAAGGUUGACCUCGGAUCAGGCAGGGAUACCCGCUGAACUUAAGCAUAUCAAUAAGCGGCGGA
rnacentral:misc_RNA from 1 species